rnacentral:rRNA from 1 species
UACGUAGGGGGCAAGCGUUGUCCGGAAUCAUUGGGCGUAAAGGGCGCGUAGGUGGCUCUGUAAGUCCGGUGUGAAAGUCAAAGGCUCAACCUUUGAAUGCCGAUGGAUACUGCAGAGCUAGAGUACGGAAGAGGCGAGUGGAAUUCCUGGUGUAGCGGUGGAAUGCGCAGAUAUCAGGAGGAACACCAAUAGCGAAGGCAGCUCGCUGGGACGUUACUGACACUAAGGCGCGAAAGCGUGGGGAGCGAACAGG